rnacentral:rRNA from 1 species
GAUGAACGCUGGCGGCGUGCCUAAUACAUGCAAGUCGAGCGGACGGACGAGAAGCUUGCUUCUCUGAUGUUAGCGGCGGACGGGUGAGUAACACGUGGAUAACCUACCUAUAAGACUGGGAUAACUUCGGGAAACCGGAGCUAAUACCGGAUAAUAUUUUGAACCGCAUGGUUCAACAGUGAAAGCCGGUCUUGCUGUCACUUAUAGAUGGAUCCGCGCUGCAUUAGCUAGUUGGUAAGGUAACGGCUUACCAAGGCAACGAUGCAUAGCCGACCUGAGAGGGUGAUCGGCCACACUGGAACUGAGACACGGUCCAGACUCCUACGGGAGGCAGCAGUAGGGAAUCUUCCGCAAUGGGCGAAAGCCUGACGGAGCAACGCCGCGUGAGUGAUGAAGGUCUUCGGAUCGUAAAGCUCUGUUAUUAGGGAAGAACAUAUGUGUAAGUAACUGUGCACAUCUUGACGGUACCUAAUGAGAAAGCCACGGCUAACUACGUG